GGGAUAAUCAGCGGGGAAAGAAGACCUGUUGAGCUUGACUCUAGUCUGACGUUGUGAAGAGACAUGGGAGAUGUAGCAUAAGUGGGAGACUCUGUCGAUCUUGAAAUACCACUACUCCCAUCGUUUCUUUACUUACUCCGUUGGGUAUGGCCCGCCGUUCCGCGGCGGUUCUAGCGAGAAGGGGCUCCGCGCCUCGACAUACGCGGAGGACAUCGUCAGGUGGGGAGUUUGGCUGGGGGGGCACAUCUGUAAAA
rnacentral:rRNA from 1 species